rnacentral:rRNA from 1 species
GACGAACCGUCCGAACGUUAUUCGGUAUCACUGGGCUUAAAGAGUUCGUAGGCGGCCUAGUAGGUGAGAUGUGAAAUCCCACGGCUCAACCGUGGAACUGCGUUUCAAACCACUAGGCUUGAGGGAGAUAGAGGUGAGUGGAACAGAUGGUGGAGCGGUGAAAUGCGUUGAUAUCAUCUGGACACCGGUGGCGAAAAGCGGCUCACUGGAUCUCUUCUGACGCUGAGGAACGAAAGCUAGGGUAGCGAACGGGAUUAGAUACCCGGUAGUCC